rnacentral:rRNA from 1 species
GAGUUUGAUCCUGGCUCAGAUUGAACGCUGGCGGCAUGCCUUACACAUGCAAGUCGAACGGCAGCACGGGAGCUUGCUCCUGGUGGCGAGUGGCGAACGGGUGAGUAAUGCAUCGGAACGUAUCCUGGAGUGGGGGAUAACGUAGCGAAAGUUACGCUAAUACCGCAUAUUCUGUGAGCAGGAAAGCGGGGGACCUUCGGGCCUCGCGCUCUUGGAGCGGCCGAUGUCGGAUUAGCUAGUUGGUGAGGUAAAGGCUCACCAAGGCGACGAUCCGUAGCAGGUCUGAGAGGAUGAUCUGCCACACUGGAACUGAGACACGGUCCAGACUCCUACGGGAGGCAGCAGUGGGGAAUUUUGGACGAUGGGGGCAACCCUAAUCCAGCCAUGCCGCGUGAGUGAAGAAGGCCUCGGUUGUAAGGACGUCUUUCGUCGUACGGGAGGAAAGUUA